rnacentral:rRNA from 1 species
AAGCUUCCAAGAAAAGCCCUAUACCCGUUAAGGCAUGAUUACCUGUACCCGAAACCGACACAGGUGGGGUGGUAGAGAAUACCGAGGGGCGCGAGGUAACUCUCUCUAAGGAACUCGGCAAAAUGACCCCGUAACUUCGGGAGAAGGGGUGCCAGCGCGAGCUGGUCGCAGUGAAUAGGCCCAGGCGACUGUUUACCAAAAACACAGGUCUCCGCUAAGUCGCAAGACGAUGUAUGGGGGCUGACGCCUGCCCAGUGCCGGAAGGUUAAAGAAGUUGGUCAGCGCAAGCGAAGCUAACGACUGAAGCCCCGGUGAACGGCGGCCGUAACAAUAACGGUCCUAAGGUAGCGAAAUUCCUUGUCGGGUAAGUUCCGACCCGCACGAAAGGCGUAACGAUCUGGGCGCUGUCUCGGAGAGAGGCUCGGCGAAAUAGAAUUGUCUGUGAAGAUGCGGACUACGUGCACCCGGACAGAAAGACCCUAUGAAGCUUUACUGUAGCUUGGUAUUGUGCUCGGGCUCGCAAUGCGCAGGAUAGGUGGGAGGCUUUGAUCCAUUGCUUGUGGGUGAUGGUGAGCCACUGGUGAGAUACCACUCUUUGCGAGCUAGGGUUCUAACGGUUACCCGUCAUCCGGGAACCGGACAGUAUCUGGUGGGCAGUUUGACUGGGGCGGUCGCCUCCUAAAAGGUAACGGAGGCGCGCAAAGGUUUGCUCAGGCUGGUUGGAAAUCAGCCGACGAGUGUAAAAGCAGAAGCAAGCUUGACUGUGAGACCUACAAGUCGAACAGGGAGGAAACUCGGCUUUAGUGAUCCGACGGUUCUGAGUGGAAGGGCCGUCGCUCAACGGAUAAAAGUUACUCUAAGGAUAACAGGCUGAUCUCCCCCAAGAGUUCACAUCGACGGGGAGGUUUGGCACCUCGAUGUCGGCUCAUCGCAACCUGGGGCUGAAGUCGGUCCCAAGGGUUGGGCUGUUCGCCCAUUAAAGCGGUACGCGAGCUGGGUUCAGAACGUCGUGAGACAGUUCGGUCCAUAUCCGGUGCAUGCGCAGGAAUAUUGAGAGGAUUUCUCCCUAGUACGAGAGGACCGGGAGGAACGCACCUCUGGUGUACCAGUUAUCGUGCCAACGGUAAACGCUGGGUAGCCAUGUGCGGAGUGGAUAACCGCUGAAAGCAUCUAAGUGGGAAGCCCACCUCAAGAUGAGUAUUCCCAUGGCUUAAGCCAGUAAGGUCACGGGAAGAACACCCGUUGAUAGGCUCUAUGUGGAAGCGCAGUAAUGCGUGAAGCAGAGGAGUACUAAUAGACC